AUUUAUUUAGUAUAUAAAGAGUACCUUUGACUUCCAAUCAAAAAGAUUGAUCAUCAAAAUAAAUA
rnacentral:tRNA from 1 species